GAAGUCGGCUAGGCAAUCGCUGUGAUAAACAGAGGAAAGUCCGGGCUCCACAGGGUAGAGUGCCAGGUAACGCCUGGGAGGUGUGAGCCUACGGAAAGUGCCGCAGAAAGUAUACCGCCUAAGCCAACUUGUUGGCCGGUAAGGGUGAAAGGGUGCGGUAAGAGCGCACCGCGCCAUUGGUAACAGUGGUGGCAGGGUAAACCCCACUCGGAGCAAAACCAAAUAGGGAUCUUUUAGUGUGACCCGCAUUUAGAUCCGGGUAGGUUGCUUGAGGCAGUCAGCGAUGGCUGUCCCAGAUGGAUGAUUGUCCUUGACAGAACCCGGCUUAUCGGCCGGCUUCCUUU
rnacentral:RNase_P_RNA from 1 species